GAUGAACGCUAGCUACAGGCUUAACACAUGCAAGUCGAGGGGAAACGAUAGAGAAAGCUUGCUUUUUCUAGGCGUCGUACCGGCGCACGGGUGAGUAACGCGGUAUCCAACCUGCCCAUCACUUGGGGAUAACCUUGCGAAAGUAAGACUAAUACCCAAUGACGUCUCUAGAAGACAUCUGAAAGAGAUUAAAGAUUUAUCGGUGAUGGAUGGGGAUGCGUCUGAUUAGCUUGUUGCGGGGUAACGGCCCACCAAGUCGACGAUCAGUAGCCGGACUGAGAGGUUGAACGGCCACAUUGGGACUGAGAUACGGCCCAGACUCCUACGGGAGGCAGCAGUGGGGAAUAUUGGGCAAUGGGGGAAACCCUGACCCAGCAACGCCGCGUGAAGGAAGAAGGCUUUCGGGUUGUAAACUUCUUUACCAGGGACGAAGGACGUGACGGUACCUGGAGAAAAAGCCACGGCUAACUACGUG
rnacentral:rRNA from 1 species